rnacentral:rRNA from 1 species
CGUCAAUUCAUUUGAGUUUGAUCUGGCUCAGAACGAACGCUGGCGGCGUGCCUAAAACAUGCAAGUCGUGCGAGAAAGUUCCGCAAGGGAUGAGUAAAGCGGCGAACGGGUGAGUAACACGUAAGCAAUCUGCCCUUUAAAUCUGGGAUAACUCUGCUAACGCGGGGCUAAUACCGGAUGUGAUCCAGAUUCCGCAUGGCGACUGGAUUAAAGGUGACCUCUACUUGUAAGUUACCGUUUAUGGAUGAGCUUGCGUCCCAUUAGCUAGUUGGUGAGGUAACGGCCCACCAAGGCUGUGAUGGGUAGCCGGCCUGAGAGGGUGUACGGCCACAUUGGAACUGAGAUACGGUCCAGACUCCUACGGGAGGCAGCAGUUGGGAAUUUUGGGCAAUGGACGAAAGUCUGACCCAGCAACGCCGCGUGAGGGAUGAAGGUCUUCGGAUUGUAAACCUCUGUUGAGUGGGAAAAAAAGCUUUGGAGCUAAUCUGCCAAGGCCUGAUGGUACCAUUCGAGGAAGCACCGGCUAACUACGUGCCAGCAGCCGCGGUAAUACGUAGGGUGCAAGCGUUGUUCGGAAUUACUGGGCGUAAAGGGAGCGUAGGCGGAAUUGUAAGUUAGGAGUUUAAUUCAUGGGCUUAACCCAUGGCCUGCUUUUAAUACUGCAGUUCUUGAGUAUGGGAGAGGGUAAUGGAAUUCCAGGUGUAGCGGUGGAAUGCGUAGAUAUCUGGAAGAACACCAGUAGCGAAGGCGGUUACCUGGCCCAAUACUGACGCUGAGGCUCGAAAGCUAGGGGAGCAAACAGGAUUAGAUACCCUGGUAGUCCUAGCCG